AAAAACAGAGAGAGAGUUCUGUGUGUCGGUUAAGUAAUGAGAAUAAUGAUCAAAAUGUCUCAGUGUGUCACUUUCAGAUGACAAGCAGACCCGGAUCAAUUUCCCAUAUGCAGCAGUCGGAAGAAAGUUAUAGUUUAACAUCAUUGGAAACAUUCAGGCCAAUUUCUGGCUAACUUAUUUACAGCUCCAUGUGUCCCUCAUCCUCACAAGUGAGCUCUCACUCCUCCCUGAAGACAAGGAAUGCAGCUCCAAAGAGCAAUAACAUGGCAGAUAAAGAGACAGCAGCAAAGUCCUGAGCAAAGAGACCCAGCAAGCAGCAGCAGUGUGGACAAACAGCAUCAGAGAAGAAGAGCAAACCCAUCAUUCUGACUGAUUGAAUGAAUGACACUGUGUUUCCAGCAAGCUGCAACUUCACUGUGCCUGUGAAGAAAACUUUUGAAAAGAACCUAUGAGGAGACUGUUGGAGUUUGACAUUUGCCACUUUCGGAGUAAAAUGGCAAGAAGAGACAGUGGAACGCAGGACAAAGCUGAAGAAGAACUGCCGGCUGUUGGACUGUUGAAGUGGGAGAGGACAACAGAGUGAGAGGAGACGUCUUGAAAACAAGUUUUAACAAAGUCCUGGAGAAGUGCCCAAUGCUGGAGGACCUCCUGCUUUACCCCUGGCUCAGAUAAACUCCUCUCUGACACAAACACACACGCAUACUGAAUUCACAUCUUGCCAUACAAAUGUGAUACAGUAACCGACUUUCUUUCUUUCAGAAAAAAAGAAAAUUGGGAGAUUCAAAAUUUUCCUCACAGUAAUGUUUGCAUCAGUCUAUCAGAUGAAUCCUCCAAGUCCAAUAUUUACAUCAGUUACAGUGAUAAUGCUUGGUGUCUACUUUCAGCCACCGCAGUAGAAUGCCAGGAAUGAAUCUCAUUGAAAUUGUAGUUGCAUUUGCUAUUUAAUUUAAUUGUCAUGGAUGAUACACAGACAACCCAACAGCAAACAGAGGAAAACAAUGGGCUUAAAUACACAGAGGGAUAAAUGAGGGAAUAAGACACAGGAUGAGAGCACAGCUGCCACAAAUCACAAACAACAAGACCAUGGGGAAGGAAAACUGAAAACACUAACAUAGUCUAAGGAGCUUAGAAAGAAAACGUCUGGACUUCUUUAAGUUGCUUGAAGACGUUCAAGCAAAGUUGAAGUUCUUUUCAUCCGAGAAGGUGAAACAUCUUCAAGCAACUUCAAGUCCAGACGCUUUCUUUCCAAACUCCUUAGACUACGAUGACCUAGAUGACUGAGAACCUUCACAGACAUGAAAACACUAACAUAGCACACAAGACUAUCAAAGUAAAACAGCAAACAAGAGACUUU
ensembl:lncRNA